AUGAGCAGAUACAAGUCCAUUUCAAGAAGACAUCAACGAAGGAUGAACUACAGAAUAGUCACAACACAAGCUACAUUCUAUUAUAACAGGAAAUAGACCUAAAGUCAUGUCAAACAAUUGCACUUUUGAUAAUUUAAUGGAGCAAAAAGAAGAGGUACUUCAACAAUUAGAAGGAAUCAGUAAAGGAGAAAAGAGGAAAAUCAGAAGUAUGAUGAUGAUAUACAAGAAAUUAUCCACCCAUGGAACUUCACAAUAGCUCAUAUACAUCGAUAAACCGGAAAGAAUCCAACUGAGAAAUGCAAAGAAAAAGAGGAGCAGUUACAAGUUACAGCCAUGGCUAUAGCUCAAGUGACUAUGGCGGACUCGACCGAAGGCAGGAAGCGCUGGCCAGAGUAGAUGGCGCUGUGCUCUGGAUGGUGAUGAUUGACAGAGAAGAUCACUUUUCGAACCAAUAGCAAAUUUUAGUACCAACCAAUAGUAAAUUUUAGUUUAUUCCAUUUUUAUGUUAAUGUAUCUCUUGCUUCCUGUUGCUCUAACGUAAAUCUUCAACAAUAAUGAAUGUGCAUUUUUUGACAUCCUACUCAAGUGAGAGGUGAAAUCAAUGAAGACAUCAUAAAUCCAAGGGUAUUCAAACCCGAUUGAAUAACUCAUGGACAAGAAAUACAACAUCAAUGUCAAGCUAAAUAUGGUCUAGAGUAGUCAAUUUCAUCAUAACUCCAACAAAACAUUAAACCCACAAUAGCUACAAUUUAAUGGAAAAAAACCCCACAAUCAGAGAAAUACAUCAAAUACACUAACCACACCCAAAGAUUAAAGACAAAAGAAGAGAUUCAAGAAUAAAACCUCAAAAG
rnacentral:lncRNA from 1 species